UACGGAGGGGGCGAGCGUUAUUCGGAAUUAUUGGGCGUAAAGGGCGCGUAGGCGGCUGGGUAAGUCAAAGGUGAAAUCCCUCGGCUCAACUGAGGAACUGCCUUUGAAACUGUCCAGCUCGAGGCCGGGAGGGGGUGGCGGAAUUCCCAGUGUAGCGGUGAAAUGCGUAGAUAUUGGGAGGAACACCUGCGGCGAAGGCGGGUUGCUGGGCUGACACUGACGCUGAAGUGCGAAAGCUAGGGGGAGCGAACGGG
rnacentral:rRNA from 1 species